UUUGAAUGUUACAAAUACAAGUCUGCCUGUUGUUUCCAGAUAUUAUUAAGUGGCCGGUGCUGGUAAAUGGGGUGGCCUGACUUUAAUUGAGCAGAUGGAGCUGCUGACCCGAGGGUGACCUGUCCGCUGACGUCCUCCUUCUGACUCAUGAUGAGGACGAGUGGUGCCGCACAGACAAAACAAGGCUUUAAGACACUUCAUAGGAUCAAUCACGCACAUUUGCCCUUUCAAUCACAAAAACCCAGCCUUUUCAUUGCUUUGCCGUCCUCUUUUACUUCUUUUGUGUCUUGAAUGUUUUUAUGAACUACAUUAUUGAUCAUGUACAUGUUAAGAAUCACGAUAAACCAUUGCGUGUUCAGCCUUUAAGUUGGAACUCCACGUUGUUUGAGCCACUCUGCGUGUGCGGAAAUUCCACCAUGUGCUGCUGACACUGUGCGCAGAUGUUUCCUCCCUCUGUUGUUGUUGUUGUUCUCGUGCGGCACCCUGGGGUCUCGAUCACUCAGCCCGCGGCCCUGCCAAGACAAUCCUAUUAGUUUUCUUUAUUAACAGCGGUUUUUAAGGGCAUCGCCGCCGGAUCGGACAAAGAAUGUGAGCGUCGGCGGUUUGCUGGGCCAUCAGUCAUCUUUUCCACACUGGCACAGGAAGCUACUGUCCCAACACCGGCCGGCGGUUUCCUAUUUUUAAGAGGAACUUGGUUUACUGUACAGGAAGUGAUCAUUUAGAAACAAUAAAUGAAGGAGGUUCCUCCCCAGCCAAGGCAGAGGAACCUGUGGCUCCUGAGUUCACAGAACUCUGCUCCUCCUGGUCGUGUGCAGCAGGAUUGAAAGAAACUAAAAUGACGAAUAUCUUUUACAAAUGGAAAAUAAAAGAUCUUGAAGCUCCUAUUGUGUGCAUCACGUGCGUGGAGCGUGCAGCGGGACGGGGGUCUCGUGACAAAGCGCCCGUGGUAAAAAGCGUCUGAUUUGGAACCGCCGAGCCACACGUGUGUCUGAGGAGGAAUUGCUGGGCCAGAGAACAGCAGGUUUUCUUCGUACACAGCAAGACGUGAACAGAUCAAUAAGAAGCGCAUCACAAGAAUUCUGGCACAUGCGCCGACGCACGUCUUCACACCCGUGAAAUUCUUAGAAAAGGGCCCUAAAAGACAUUACAGCCCAUCAGGCAGUGAUCUCAAAUCAUUAAAUCAUCCUACAACUAUUGGAUAAAGACGUACAUAGCAAAUUACAGUUCGUGUCCCACAGUCUUGGAUGCGUAGGGUUCUAAAUGAGUCUUAUUUGUUAUAAUGUGUUUAAACGGGAGACAAAAAGUGUUUUAGCUCAAGGCAGUGGCAGCUGUGAAGCUUUGGGUCGUGUCCCUGUUUCUCCGCACCACAGCUCAGUUGUAGCCUAUCGCUGACACUGAGCAGACACGUUCAUACAAAGCACCUUUAAUGGGAAACGCACACAAACACCAGGAGCCGUUUGGCCGCAGCAGAUACAAGCCAGAGGCUCCAACGCCCCGAAGCACUCGCGUUAUUGUUUCACAAAUAGGCCUUUGGUUAGAAGUGACCUUUCUGUUUAAGGAAGUGACACCGCAAACAAAUGAAACAACACACCUGUGGAACACAGCCAUCGUUUACCCCGGCGAGGAUCACGGGGGCGAGUGAUGCUGCUGAGGAAACGACGCGUGUGUCCGUUGGUUCGGAGCUUCUGUGUGCGUCGCUCCUCUUACGUAACUGUGGUAUUUAGCAGAACGCGGCCUGAGGCUACACGGUUCAACCCCAGACGGAGGCUGGAACUCGGGCGCACAUGGAGCUGCACUCUCCCACCGGACGCCUGUGACUGUUUGCAUUAAAGUGAGACGUGCUCACGCAGCAGCACGUCCUCCUACUUCAACCUAAGCCGCAGCCCUGGAACAGACGACGCUGAAUGACUUACACUCAGUCCUGUGUUGAAUCCUACAGGUGCAGGUGUUGAUGUUACACCUGUACAUCUAUCUGUACUAUAAAACAUCACUACAGGCUAAAACAACUGUUUGCCUGUGAUGCAGACGAGCCCAAUGACUUCCUACAUACUGUAUCAUCAGCUUCUUUUCAUAAUUCAUCUCAGGAUUUGAUUUCACAACGUGGUGUGUCUGGAUUUAAGGUCGGCUCAGCUCAGAGAGACGAGACGAGACGCGGCCACAGUAGUAAAAGCCGGACACAAACGCGUGUGUGGUGUAAUUUCUCAGCGGGUGUUUCGAGAGGGAACGAUGACCUUAAAAGUCCAGCAUCCACUUUAAAAAUGUGAAGACGGCCUCUAAAGAAAUAUGAAUCAGAUUUAGAUGAAAAUCUUUCUGCAUCUCAACACGUUCCCCUGCUUUUUUCUCUGUUUUCACCAGCUCUGGUAGAGAAAUGCCUUGAAAGUGCCAAACCAGUCUGCACAAACACUGUGUCAGUGAGUGGCCACGCAAACUUGGGAUAAAUUCAUUAUGUUUCAGCUUGGUUGUGCCUCCUUUUUUUCGUUAUUGGUCGUUGUUAUUGUUCGAUCCGUUGCGAUCAGCUCGUCAUCUGAUCACACGAACGCGUUCCUCCAGGAUCCCGGUCCGUGGGGUCGAACGCAGACUUCGUUGCAGCAGGUUGCAUCAUGCACAGUCUGCGUGUGCGAGUGGAUUUGUAUGCGCGGGCUUUUUUAUUUUGCAGGUGCAGCGAUGGCGCAGGUUCGGAGACAAACCGUGCAACCGUGUGAAAAAAGCCUGUUAGAGAUAAAGACGUUCGCUGUUGGUUUUAGUGGAAUAAAUCACCCAGAGCGUGAAGACGCCUGCAGCUUCGUACCACCGUCAUCUUUUGUUUGCUUCCAGAUGAUGUAGUAUCGCUCUCCACUCCCACUUACUGCCUUGUGAAAUGUUUUGGUAAACGGACGCUGAUGAAUGUGUUAUUAUGGUAAGAUCACACUCAAAUAUUUACAAGUGAACCACAAGGAUCUGGUCUCAGGCCAUUUAUUGGUCCUGUCCUGAUCUAUUACACAUUUGGUUGUUCUCAUACUUUAUUCUGAGACACUGUGGUGUCUGACGCAGAUUUUUAAUAUGCACAUUUCAAUAAUAAAUCGAAACGUAAAAAUAAAACAAAAUAUUAUGCCAAAAGUCAAAUGUCAUCAUGGCCUAUGGGAUAAUCUGAAUUAGACACAUAUUUAUUAUUGCUCAUUAGAAAAAUGUUGCAGACCUUAUCAAAAUUGAAUUAAUAUUCACGCCAUAGAAAACAUUUUGAUCAAAUCCUACAUUUACUGUAUUUGUACAACUUCCUAAAUCCUAAACAAUAAAAUAAAUAAAUAAGUGCAGC